GACGAACGCUGGCGGCGUGCCUAAUACAUGCAAGUCGAACGCAGUGGGGACGGGUGAGUAACACGUGGGUAACCUCCCAUCAGAGGGGAUAACACUUGGAAACAGGUGCUAAACCGACAUUGAUGGAUGGACCCGCGGGGCAUUAGCUAGUGGGGGGGGGAACGGCUCACCAAGGCCACGAUGAAUAGCCGCCCUGAGAGGGUGAUCGGCCACACUGGAACAGAGACUCGGCCCAGACUCCGACGGGAGGCAUCAGUGGGAAAUCUUCGGCAAUGGACGAAAGUCUGACCGAGCAACGCCGCGUGAGUGAAGAAGGUUUUCGGAUCGUAAAACUCUGUUGUUAGAGAAGCGGUAUCUAACCAGAAAGCCACGGCUAACUACGUGCCAGCAGCCGCGGUAAUAC
rnacentral:rRNA from 1 species